rnacentral:tRNA from 1 species
GCAGCCGUAGCUCAGUUGGUUAGAGCGCCUGACUGUGGAUCAGGAGGCCGAUGGUUCAAAUCCCUCCGGCUGUA